rnacentral:rRNA from 1 species
GACGAACGCUGGCGGCGUGCCUAAUACAUGCAAGUAGAACGCAGUUCCGAACGGGUGAGUAACGCGUAGGUAACUGCCUCAUAGCGGCGGAUAACUAUUGGAAACGAUAGCUAAUACCGCAUACUGUGUGAUGGACCUGCGUUGUAUUAGCUAGUUGGUGAGGUAAAGGCGCACCAAGGCGACGAUACAUAGCCGACCUGGGAGGGGGAUGGGCCAAACUGGGAAUGAGACACGGGCGAGACUGCGAAGGGAGGUAGGAGUAGGGAAAGUUGGGAAAAGGAGGGAAGUGUGAACGAGCAAAGGCGCGGGAGUGAAGAAGGGUUUGGGAGCGGAAAGAGCUGUAGGUAGAGAAGCGGUAACUAACGAGAAAGGGACGGCUAACUACGUGCCAGCAGCCGCGGUAAUUC